rnacentral:rRNA from 1 species
GACGAACGCUGGCGGCGUGCUUAACACAUGCAAGUCGAACGGAAAGGCCCUGCUUGCAGGGUACUCGAGUGGCGAACGGGCGAGUAACACGUGGGUGAUCUGCCCUGCACUUCGGGAUAAGCUUGGGAAACUGGGUCUAAUACCGGAUAGGAACCAUCUUUAGUGUGGUGGUUGGAAAGUUUUUUCGGUGUAGGAUGAGCUCGCGGCCUAUCAGCUUGUUGGUGGGGUAAUGGCCUACCAAGGCGGCGACGGGUAGCCGGCCUGAGAGGGUGUACGGCCACAUUGGGACUGAGAUACGGCCCAGACUCCUACGGGAGGCAGCAGUGGGGAAUAUUGCACAAUGGGCGCAAGCCUGAUGCAGCGACGCCGCGUGGGGGAUGAAGGCCUUCGGGUUGUAAACUCCUUUCGCUAGGGACGAAGCUUUUUGUGACGGUACCUAGAUAAGAAGCACCGGCUAACUACGUG